rnacentral:rRNA from 1 species
UACGUAGGCAGCAAGCGUUGUUCGGAGUUACUGGGCGUAAAGAGUGCGUAGGUGGUGCCCUAAGUCUGUUGUGAAAUCUCCCGGCUUAACUGGGAGGGUGCGGUGGAAACUGGGGUGCUUGAGUGUGGGAGAGGUAAGCGGAAUUCCUGGUGUAGCGGUGAAAUGCGUAGAUAUCUGGAGGAACACCGGUGGCGAAGGCGGCAUCCUGGACCGAGAUUGACGCUGAGGCGCGAAAGCCAGGGAGCAACGGG